rnacentral:tRNA from 1 species
CGCCGGCAGGGAGGGCUUGCGUCUGCGGCAGGGGUCAGUGGCGGUACAUCACGUACAGCUUGCUGUCGUGCGAGGCGGCGGCCGGUGC